ACCACUGUUUCUGUACAGAAGUGAGAAGGUGUGUGAGAGAUAUCGAUCUUGUAAUGGGCAGCAGUUAUUGCCGGUAAUAAUAGGUCCACUACUGGUGAGAAAAUGUACGGGAUGAUGAAGGCAGCCCUGAGAUUUUCAUCGUUUAAAAAGUUGUGAAGGACCUGCAACACCGUGGUGCUGUAUAUAGAUGAUUACAAGGACAUCCAUGCAGCCUAUUGCCAUUGAUGGACCCCCACAUUAAGCAAGGAGCGUCUAGAACUCACUUUACCACCACAUUCCUGUUCCCCGCUGCACAGAACUCUUAAGGAAUUUCAUAAUUAAAGAGUUGGUGUAGCUGCAAUCAAAAGAGUGACUUUGGGUCACCCGUCAACUGCAGUGGCAGUACUGGGGGCAAGUUCUACAUUGUCAGCUCUGAACCUGUGAAUGUGAGUGUUCAGGUGCACACUUGGCAGUACUUCUGCACAGAAAUUCUACUGAGUGUUUGGAAAAAGACAUUUCAGGGCCUCCAAAAGUGUAUAGUAUGAAAUGUAUGUCUUGUUUCACUAUACUUCCCUCUUUUAAUUCCAUUUCUGUUGGUGACUGUUUAAAUGUGUGUGUGAAUUUUACUUGGUUUUGAUGUGGCUGACCACCUGUGCUGAAACUACUGCACUCUGUGCUGUGUGAUGCAACCUGAGAGCAGAAACGUUUCACACUUUGUUAUUUAAAGUACUGG